GGCUGGAUCGACGAAGAACGCCCAUGUCUAAGGGGUUAACGAAGGUGAUAUCGCAAACCUAUAUUGUAUAAUUCGCGUCUUUAUUUCAUCAAAAAAAAAGAAAGUAGACUACGUGCAGCCUGGAGUUGCAAUGAGGAGAGUAUGCCAACAAUGCCAAACUAGAAGUUUCCAGAAUCAGUCUACAGAGAGGGGUUUUAGAAAAGGCAUGAAAUGGAACGGAAGUACUGUUUUAAUGAUGGCAACUAUAAUCAAGGACCAAGCCAAAUAGAGGCUGUCAGAUGGUGACUAUAAAAGAAGUCAUCGACAACAUCAACAUUUUCUAUAUAAGGCGAAACGGAAAGAGAGCAAAUACCAAGCGCCAACGCUGCAGUAUCUUGUUGCAACGCCAUCGUGCUGAAACGUGACAGGUUCAAGAUGCAACAACAUGCGUUUAUAUCAUAUCUCGUUGUUUACACGAUAUUCGAAGCUAUUUCGAAAGUUACAUUUGCAAUUGUACCACUUUCAUGUGUAUACGGUGAGAUCAGUGGGGUGAAUAAUUUUAGAAAAAAAUCAGUUUCUACAUCGUUGCUUUUGUGCUACAUAUGGCUUUGCUGUUAGACACAGCAAGCAAAGUACCCGCAAUGGAGAUAAUCAGCUACAAAAGGCUUUCAGAACUGAACCUGGUGGC